UACACUCCUGCGGGAGGCAGCAGUGGGGAAUUUUGGACAAUGGGCGAAAGCCUGAUCCAGCAAUGCCGCGUGAGUGAAGAAGGCCUUCGGGUUGUAAAGCUCUUUUGUCAGGGAAGAAACGGUGAAAGCUAAUAUCUUUUGCUAAUGACGGUACCUGAAGAAUAAGCACCGGCUAACUACGUGCCAGCAGCCGCGGUAAUACGUAGGGUGCAAGCGUUAAUCGGAAUUACUGGGCGUAAAGCGUGCGCAGGCGGUUUUGUAAGUCUGAUGUGAAAUCCCCGGGCUCAACCUGGGAAUUGCAUUGGAGACUGCAAGGCUAGAAUCUGGCAGAGGGGGGUAGAAUUCCACGUGUAGCAGUGAAAUGCGUAGAUAUGUGGAGGAACACCGAUGGCGAAGGCAGCCCCCUGGGUCAAGAUUGACGCUCAUGCACGAAAGCGUGGGGAGCAAACAGGAUUAGAUACCCCGGUAGUCCC
rnacentral:rRNA from 1 species